UACAGAGGGUGCGAGCGUUGUCCGGAAUCACUGGGCGUAAAGGGCGCGUAGGUGGUGGCUUAAGCGUGCGGUGAAAGCUCGGGGCUCAACUCCGAGUCGGCCGUGCGAACUGGGCUCACUGGAGCAUAGUAGAGGCAGGUGGAAUUCCGGGUGUAGCGGUGGAAUGCGUAGAGAUCCGGAAGAACACCGGUGGCGAAGGCGGUCUGCUGGGGUCGAACUGACGCUGAGGCGCGACAGCGUGGGGAGCAAACAGG
rnacentral:rRNA from 1 species